ACCCUUGUGCACUGUAAUGGGAAUGCAAACUGGUGCAGCCACUCUGGAGUACAGUAUGGAGGUCCCUCAAAGAGUUGGAAAUAGAGCUACCCUAUGACCCAACGAUAGCACUACUAGAUACUUACCCAAACAAUACAAAAAUACUGAUUCAAAGGGAUAUAUGCACCCCAAUAUUUAUAGCCUAGCAUUACUCAAUGGUAGCCAAACUAUGGAAAGAACCCAAGUGUCCAUUGACUGACGAAUGGAUAAAGAAGAUGCAAUGGACUAUUAUUCAGCCAUCAUAAAGAAUGAAAUCUUGCCAUUUGUAAUGAUGUGGAUGGAGCAACAGUGUAUUAUACUAAACAAAAUAAAUCAGUCAGAGAAAGAAAUACCAUGUGAUUUCACUCAUAUGUGGAAUUUAAGAAACAAUACAGAUGAACAUACGGGAAAGGGUUAAAAAGGAGAGAGAGGGAAACAAACCAUAAGAGACUCUUAAUGAUAGAAAACAAACUGAGAGGCCCUAUGGAGGGAAGUGGGUGGGGGAUGGGCUACAUGGAUGGUGUGUAUUAAAGAGGAUGUUUGUCAUGAUGGGCACUGGGUGUUGUAUGUACGUGACAAAUCACUGAAUUCUAUUCCUGAAACCAAUCGUGCACUAUAUGUUAACUAGAAUUUAAAUUAAAAUGUAAAGGGGGAAAAAAAGGUAAAUUCCAUUCUGUAGGAUUAAGGCCUAGAAGACUACUAGGAAUGUUAGAAGACUGGUAAUAUACUUAAAUCCUAAUACACAUAAGAAGCUUUGAAAAAUUCAAAAGAAAUAAGCAAGGCUUGGGGUGCCUGGGUGGUGCAGUCGGUUGAGUGACUGGUUCUUGGUUUUGGCUCAGGACCAUGAUCUCAGCGUUGUAGGAUCAAACCCCACCUCAGACUCCGUGCUGAAGACUCUCUCUCCCUCUGCCUCGCCCCAUGGACACACUCGUGCUCUCUCUCAAAUAAAUAAAUCUUUUUUAAAAAAAUGGAAAAGAAAAAAAAUAAAUAAAUUAAAAAAUGGAAAAGAUAGAUAAAUAAAUAAAUAAAUAAAUAAAUAAAUAAAUAAAUAAAUAAAUAAAUAAAUAAAAAAUUAAAAAAUGGAAAAGAAGCCAGGCUCGGUUCAACUUUAUCUUAAAAAUAACUUACAUAACUGCACUCAGUGAAUAGAAAGCCCGGUUCACGCCUUGAAGUCAUGUCUCUGUUGAUACUAUGAUACGGGGGUCAGUUCUGCCUCAGUGCAGAAACGAUACAGUGGAAUAAGAUGGAGAUCCGGAGAUAGCCAUUUACCAAAAAGAAAUCUUUUUCUGAAAAGAAAUACUCCACCGUGAUGCGCAUUGAAAUUUAUGGAGCAAGCACAUUUCUAAACAUUGGCCAUUAUUCAGACAGCUCAGGCUCAUCUCAUGUUUUCUUCUAUUAUAGAGCAUCUUAAUUUUGUAUGGCUUUUGGGUUGUUUUUUUGUUGUUUUAAUAAACACUGAAACAAUAAAGAAUUUAAAAUGCAAAGCCAUCUUGUGGACUGUAGUUUCAGGUUUAAGUAAUCACUGCUCUCCUUGUUUUACUGUAUUUUGACGAGGGCCAACGUUCUAAUUACCGUCCAGCAUCUCUUGUUCAGCAGGCGGUGCCAAUCACACCCCAUUAUCUAUUGAUGUGGAGUAAGUGCCCGUUAGGGGCUGCUGCAAUCACCACCCUAAUUUUCCGCUCACGCUCCAUCCACGUCAGCGCUCUCGUCUCCAGAGGUAAGAGCAGCUGUACUCUCUGUACUCAUUAACCCAGCCGCCCUUGACAUUUGUUCCUUUUUUUUUUAAACCUAAUGUCGCAAAUUCUCUACUAAAGGAAAGACUUUCAGCCUGCGAUUUUUUUUUGCAUUGAUUAUUUCAGCUGUGUUCCAGGAUCUGCCUUUGCAUCUAAAAUAGUAUUCUCACAUUUCACACACUGAGGUUCAAAAUUCCAAACAGAAGCCCCACACGGGACUGUGAUUUGAUGCCACUGAAUGGCCCAAGGGGGGGCACUGAGUUGGAUGUAGGUCCAGAGCUUCACCCAUUGAUCUGAAUUUGGCCUUAAAAAGCAUUAGCAAUUUGUUUCUUCUUGGUAUUACCAACUGCUGAAAAACCUGACGCGAUCAGUUAUAUAGGCUAUUUUACAAUUAGUGCUUCUCGUUUCAGAGAAGCUUAGUUUUGAUGUGUUCCUCCCCUGUUCUGACCCUCCUUUAGCUCUGCAAAUGU
rnacentral:lncRNA from 1 species